UUUAAAUCACCAAGACUUUGCUUAAUAUGAAAAAUAAAUAAAUGAUGUCUGUAUUUAUUAAAAUUACUUUUCAGUUAUAAGACCCAGAUACCAAUGUGGAAUAGGACACAAAUCGAAGGCAUCUACAUUUAAGUUGUCCAGAAGAAAUAGCUUCUGCUGGCAUACCUGAUGUCACCCACAAGAUUCUCAACCCUCAGCACAAGUGCUCAUUCUUUCAUUCUCUUCAGCUGACCAAAAAGAGGCAAAAUCAAUAAGCAUCGGCCGGCAAAAGCUUUAGCAUAGAAGCUAAGGCAAAUGGGUAUGUAUGCAUGUUUUUGUCAACAUUUGAUUUGUCUGUGUAAUAAUUCCCUUCCAUCAUUUUACUAGUCUUACGUUGUCACCUGUAUUGUUGUCAUGUUUAAUCUGAUUGUCCAAGAUGCCCUGGAAAAACAGUCCAGUGAUGAUGAAGAAAAUUAGGAUGAGACAGACUUGUGCACUUCCAUAAGUCCUGGACCUGCACCAGUAUUAUAGUCCAUCUCAGUCAGAGGGAGGACCACUAGCCAUACCUACUGGUAUUUAGAAGGCUCAAGGGCACGAUCAUCUUUUUCUAUGUGGCCGGACAAGCACCUCAUCCCUUCUGACGGAACCAGCUCCUUGAGUGCUAUCGAACUCUAAGUCCACUAUGUGCUCAACCUGUUGUAUCAGUAGGUCCUUGUCAAUGUCUUUAUCUUCCUGCUACACUCUACAAUGAUGUUGGUCAUACCAGUGAGUUACCAAGAGUUAAGGAAUUGCAUCCAAAGCAUUGACAAUCUUUUGACAAAACAUUUUUCAAUGCAUCAUGUAUUUAGUUGAGAGUUGAGAGUACAUCUAACAGCGAGCAUUUUGAAGUCCUACAUGUCUUCUCAUCUGUCGAGUUUACAUGGGUGUUAUGAUAGUGAAUUUUUAUCUUUCUUUUAAGUGUU